CUUUAUUGGUAUUUGGGUAAUUAGUGGUAGGUCGCUAUGACGUAGUUCAUAGUUCACGUGGAGCAAAGUUUGGUGAUUUUAGGUUGUGGGGUAUGGAGAUGUUUUCAGUAGAUUAUAAAAUUCGACGGUGUACAUACAUGCGACCGAAGCCCCUGCGAAGGACGGAAUGUGCCGGCAGGUGUGUUGCAGCGACUGAGGAAGUGAUAGUGUGGAUAUACCCUUAUCUGAAUAGCUUUUUGCACCGGAGUUUGUGUGGUGAAAAGUUUACAAAUUCAAAAUAAAAGUAUUUACCUACUUGAA